UUGACAGACAGCUAUUUAGUAUUUAUUCUUUACAUGUAUUUUGCUCUGUUCCGCGUACAAAAUGUAUUUCACAUGACACGUACAAGGUGGCACUGGACAUCACGAGGCUCGUGGCUUGUGAGUCUAUGAUUUCAGGGGCAUAAGAUCACAAAAUUGAAGUAGAUGAACUGCAUGCAUCACGAACCAGCGGGUCUGGACUACGGAAUGUUCGGAUCCUGAAGCCAGGCCCAAUCACUCAGGCGGAUACAUGUCGAUGACGCUUCUUGCUAGCAGGACGUCUUCAUUGUCAAACCGUCUAUUUCAUUUCUUAUACCACACGUGGGAGGAACGAAUGCCUGCGAGGGGAUGGACCGUCCCCCACUCCUCCUUUCUUGCUUCUUGGAACACCGUGAUGUCGCUCGACGGAAUUUCCAGCAGGGAACUGCCAACACCAUCGCAACCAUCUUUGCCGUGACCACUAGCAGAACACAACCAUCUCACAAGCAGCCUGUUCUUCGUCAUCUCGUACAGCUGAUACCUAUUCUUGAAGUGCGCAGCUGCACCGUCUGAGAUAUAGAUGAGAUGCGUGAACACAGGUAGAAUUUCUUCCAGGGCCUCAACUAUCCUGUCCAGGGCUAGUGCGUGCGCCGUGUCAUGGGACAUGUCGUCGCUCACCGUUGCGAAGCUCGUUGUCGACACAGGUGUUGUUGCCACGCAAGUGAAUAAAGAAAUUUGAUCUGUUUUCCA